AACGAACGCUGGCGGCAUGCCUAACACAUGCAAGUCGAACGAUUGCCUUCGGGUGAUAGUGGCGCACGGGUGCGUAACGCGUGGGAAUCUGCCCUUAGGUUCGGAAUAACAGCUGGAAACGGCUGCUAAUACCGGAUGAUAUCGCGAGAUCAAAGAUUUAUCGCCUGAGGAUGAGCCCGCGUUGGAUUAGGUAGUUGGUGGGGUAAAGGCCUACCAAGCCGACGAUCCAUAGCUGGUCUGAGAGGAUGAUCAGCCACACUGGGACUGAGACACGGCCCAGACUCCUACGGGAGGCAGAAGUGGGGAAUAUUGGACAAUGGGCGCAAGCCUGAUCCAGCAAUGCCGCGUGAGUGAUGAAGGCCCUAGGGUUGUAAAGCUCUUUUACCCGGGAAGAUAAUGACUGUACCGGGAGAAUAAGCCCCGGCUAACUCCGUG
rnacentral:rRNA from 1 species